CCUACGGGGGGCAGCAGUGAGGAAUAUUGGACAAUGGGCUUACGCCUGAACCAGCCAAGUCGCGUGAGGGAAGACUGCCCUAUGGGUUGUAAACCUCUUUUGUCAGGGAGAAACGCCGGCUACGUGUAGCCGGGCUGAGAGUACCUGAAGAAAAAGCAUCGGCUAACUCCGUGCCAGCAGCCGCGGUAAUACGGAGGUUGCGAGCGUUAUCCGGAUUUAGUGGGGUUAAAGGGUGCGUAGGCGGAAUGCCAAGUCAGCGGUAAAAUCGCGUGGCUCAACCACGCUUCGCCGUUGAAACUGGCGUUCUUGAGUGGGCGAGAGGAAUGCGGAAUGCGUGGUGUAGCGGUGAAAUGCAUAGAUAUCACGCAGAACUCCGAUUGCGAAGGCAGCAUACCGGCGCCCAACUGACGCUGAAGCACGAAAGCGUGGGUAUCGAACAGGAUUAGAUACCCGGGUAGUC
rnacentral:rRNA from 1 species